rnacentral:rRNA from 1 species
GAUGAACGCUAGCGGCAGGCUUAACACAUGCAAGUCGAGGGGCAGCAUAAUGGAUAGCAAUAUCUAUGGUGGCGACCGGCGCACGGGUGCGUAACGCGUAUGCAACCUACCUUUAACAGGGGGAUAACACUGAGAAAUUGGUACUAAUACCCCAUAAUAUCAUAGACGGCAUCUUUUAUGGUUGAAAAUUCCGAUGGUUAGAGAUGGGCAUGCGUUGUAUUAGCUAGUUGGUGGGGUAACGGCUCACCAAGGCGACGAUACAUAGGGGGACUGAGAGGUUAACCCCCCACACUGGUACUGAGACACGGACCAGACUCCUACGGGAUGCAGCAGUGAGGAAUAUUGGUCAAUGGACGCAAGUCUGAACCAGCCAUGCCGCGUGCAGGAUGACGGCUCUAUGAGUUGUAAACUGCUUUUGUACGAGGGUAAACGCAGAUACGUGUAUCUGUCUGAAAGUAUCGUACGAAUAAGGAUCGGCUAACUCCGUG